AUGGAGGCGGCAAGGGGGGAUCCCGACGACCCCCUCGUCGCCGUCCGCCCCGAGCGGGUCGGCGGGUGGUGGGCGCGUAACCAGGACUUCAUACGGAGACGCGCGGAGACGCUGAGGCGACCCGCCGCCCGGGCGGUGGCCGAGGCCGAGGCCGAGCGUAGCAGAGAGCCGCCGGCCUCCAAGAACUCCAUGGCGGGACUGCUCGUGCCGGCGGCGGCGGAGGUGCGGGAUCUGGAGUGCGCGGUGUGCCUGGAGGACCUGGUGGCCGGAGGCAGGAAGCUCAGGAAGAUGGACUGCUCCCACUGCUUCCACCAGCGCUGCAUCUUCCGCUGGCUGCACGUCAGCCGGCUCUGCCCGAUGUGCCGCUUCGCGAUGCCCUCCCGGCCCGACGGCGAGCACGUCGGCGACGACGUGGAGCGGGAGCUCGCGGCCGAGGAGGAGGAUGCUGCUGACGAAGAAAAGCCUGCGGCAACUGAAGAACGUUCAUCCAGUGAGGUUUUUACAAACUGCAAAUCAAAGAGGCACUAG
rnacentral:rRNA from 1 species